AUUGAACGCUGGCGGCAGGCCUAACACAUGCAAGUCGAACGAGUGGCGGACGGGUGAGUAAUGUCUGGGAAACUGCCCGAUGGAGGGGGAUAACUACUGGAAACGGUAGCUAAUACCGCAUACCAUCGGAUGUGCCCAGAUGGGAUUAGCUAGUAGGUGGGGUAACGGCUCACCUAGGCGACGAUCCCUAGCUGGUCUGAGAGGAUGACCAGCCACACUGGGACGGAGAAACGGUCCAGACUCCUACGGGAGGAAGAAGGGGGGAAUAUGGCAAAAUGGGCGAAAGCCUGAGGCAGCCAUGCAGAGGGUAUGAAGAAGGCCUUGGGGUUGUAAAGUACUUUAAGCGGGGAGGCGUUACUCGCAGAAGAAGCACCGGCUAACUCCGUGCCAGCAGCCGCGGUAAUAC
rnacentral:rRNA from 1 species